rnacentral:rRNA from 1 species
UACGUAGGUGGCAAGCGUUGUCCGGAUUUACUGGGCGUAAAGAGCGCGCAGGCGGUUAUUCAAGUCGAAUGUGAAAGCCCCCGGCUUAACUGGGGGAGGGUCAUUCGAUACUGUUUAACUUGAAGGCAGGAGAGGGUAGUGGAAUUCCCGGUGUAGUGGUGAAAUGCGUAGAUAUCGGGAGGAACACCAGUGGCGAAGGCGAGUCCCUGGACAACACCUGACACUGAGGCACGAAAGCUAGGGGAGCAAACAGG